rnacentral:rRNA from 1 species
AGAAUCAACGCUGGCGGCGUGCCUAACACAUGCAAGUCGCACGAGAAAGGGACUUCGGUCCUGAGUAAAGUGGCGCACGGGUGAGUAACACGUGAAUCAUCUACCCUCGAGUGGGGAAUAACCUAGAGAAAUCUGGGCUAAUACCGCAUAAUACUUACGAGUCAAAGCAGCAAUGCGCUUGGGGAGGAGUUCGCGGCCGAUUAGCUAGUUGGCGGGGUAAUGGCCCACCAAGGCGAUGAUCGGUAUCCGGCCUGAGAGGGCGCACGGACACACUGGAACUGAAACACGGUCCAGACUCCUACGGGAGGCAGCAGUGGGGAAUUUUGCGCAAUGGGGGAAACCCUGACGCAGCAACGCCGCGUGGAGGAUGAAGUAUCUUGGUACGUAAACUCCUUUCGAUGGGGAAGAUAAUGACGGUACCAUAGAAGAAGCCCGGCUAACUUCGCGCCAGCAGCCGC